AACGCUAGCUACAGGCUUAACACAUGCAAGUCGAGGGGCAGCGCAGUGCAGCAAUGCAUGGGCGGCGACCGGCGCACGGGUGCGUAACGCGUAUCCAACCUUCCCGUUACUCUUGGAUAGCCUUCCGAAAGGGAGAUUAAUACAAGAUGGUGUUCAAAAUUCGCAUGUUCUUUGAACUAAAGAUUUAUCGGUAACGGAUGGGGAUGCGUUCCAUUAGCUUGUUGGCGGGGUAACGGCCCACCAAGGCUUCGAUGGAUAGGGGUUCUGAGAGGAAGGUCCCCCACACUGGAACUGAGACACGGUCCAGACUCCUACGGGAGGCAGCAGUGAGGAAUAUUGGUCAAUGGCCGGAAGGCUGAACCAGCCAAGUAGCGUGAAGGAUGAAGGUUCUAUGGAUUGUAAACUUCUUUUAUAGGGGAAUAAAACCUCCCACGUGUGGGAGCUUGUAUGUACCCUAUGAAUAAGCAUCGGCUAACUCCGUGCCAGCAGCCGCGGUAAUACGGAGGAUGCGAGCGUUAUCCGGAUUUAUUGGGUUUAAAGGGAGCGUAGACGGGAGAUUAAGUCAGCUGUGAAAGUUUGAGGCCCAACCUUAAAAUUGCAGUUGAUACUGGUUUCCUUGAGUGCGGUUGAGGUGUGUGGAAUUCGUGGUGUAGCGGUGAAAUGCUUAGAUAUCACGAAGAACUCCGAUUG
rnacentral:rRNA from 1 species